GACGAACGCGGCGGCGUGCUUAACACAUGCAAGUCGAACGAAAAGAGGGAAAGAGCUUGCUCUUUCCGGAAUUGAGUGGCAAACGGGUGAGUAACACGUAAACAACCUGCCUUCAGGAUGGGGACAACAGACGGAAACGACUGCUAAUACCGAAUAAGUUCCAAGAGCCGCAUGGCCCAUGGAAGAAAAGGUGGCCUCUACCUGUAAGCUAUCGCCUGAAGAGGGGUUUGCGUCUGAUUAGCUGGUUGGAGGGGUAACGGCCCACCAAGGCGACGAUCAGUAGCCGGUCUGAGAGGAUGAACGGCCACACUGGAACUGAGACACGGUCCAGACUCCUACGGGAGGCAGCAGUGGGGAAUCUUCCGCAAUGGGCGAAAGCCUGACGGAGCAACGCCGCGUGAGUGAUGACGGCCUUCGGGUUGUAAAACUCUGUGAUCCGGGACGAAAAGGCAGAGUGCGAAGAACAAACUGCAUUGACGGUACCGGAAAAGC
rnacentral:rRNA from 1 species